AUACGGAGGGUGCAGGCGUUACUCUGAAUCACUGGGCGUAAAGCGCGCGCAGGCGGGCUGAUAAGUUGGAUGUGAAAGCCUACGGCUCAACCGUAGAACUGCAUCCAAAACUGUCAGUCUAGAGUGUGGGAGAGGAAGAUGGAAUUAGUUGUGUAGGGGUAAAAUCCGUAGAGAUAACUAGGAAUACCAAAAGCGAAGGCAAUCUUCUGGAACACUACUGACGCUGAGGCGCGAAGGCGUGGGGAGCAAACAGGAUUAGAAACCCCAGUAGUCC
rnacentral:rRNA from 1 species